GAGGAAUAUUGGUCAAUGGGCGAGAGCCUGAACCAGCCAAGUCGCGUGAAGGAAGACUGCCUUAUGGGUUGUAAACUUCUUUUAUACAGGAAUAAAAAGGCUUACGUGUAGGCCAUUGCAAGUACUGUAUGAAUAAGCAUCGGCUAACUCCGUGCCAGCAGCCGCGGUAAUACGGAGGAUGCGAGCGUUAUCCGGAUUUAUUGGGUUUAAAGGGUGCGCAGGCGGGCUUUUAAGUCAGCGGUGAAAUCUGGACGCUUAACGUCCAAACUGGCCGUGGAACCGGGGGGCCUUGAUAAUGAAGGAAGAAGGCGGAAUCGGUUUGGUACCGUGAAAUUCCAUAGUAAUACCGAGGAACCCCAAUUCGGUAGGAACCUACUAAGCCAUAACUGACGCUCAUGCACGAAAGCGUGGGGAUCAAACA
rnacentral:rRNA from 1 species